rnacentral:rRNA from 1 species
GGGGAAUAUUGCACAAUGGGGGAAACCCUGACCGAGCAACGCCGCGUGAGUGAAGAAGGUCUUCGGAUCGUAAAUCUCUGUUAUCAGGGAAGAAGAAAAUGACGGUACCUGAUGAGCAAGUCCCGGCUAACUACGUGCCAGCAGCCGCGGUAAUACGUAGGGGACAAGCGUUGUCCGGAAUCACUGGGCGUAAAGGGCGCGCAGGCGGUGAUUUAAGCAGGAUGUGAAAGGCUACGGCUCAACCGUAGACAUGCACCCUGAACUGGGUCACUUGAGUAUUGGAGAGGCAGGCAGAAUUCCUGGUGUAGCGGUGAAAUGCGUAGAUAUCAGGAGGAAUACCGGAGGCGAAGGCGGCCUGCUGGACAAAUACUGACGCUGAGGCGCGAAAGCGUGGGGAGCAAACA